UGCGCUCCUGCAGGGUACCUUCUUUCUUCGCGCUCCCUGUGUGGGCUGCCGCAGCUCCAGGAAGAGCCUGUUGCUUUCAGGGUUUGCCUGACUAGGCCAGGCCCACCAGGGAUUCUGUGGAGCUGUCGAUGGUGUUGAUGGAGCUGUCGAUGGUGCGGUCGCCUUGGCAAACAUCCGGCUCUCUCCAGAAAAGUGAAUCAUCACAGACUUCUCUUCAGCCUGGUGGGCCCUCACCUAGAAUCUGCCCGAGAGCAACGACCAUAUCCAUGGUGGAUCGAAAUAUACGGGUCUCGCUGUGUAGCCUAGGCUGGCCUUGAACUUGUGGCGAUUCUCCUGCCUCAGCCUCUGGAGUGCUGGAAUCACACGUGUGUGCCUGGGAUUUUCUUAAAGCGCUGUCUGAAGGUGUCAUUGACACACUAGAGUCCCCCUGCCGCAGGUGUGCAUUUCAGCAACCUGUGGUGGAUUCGUGGGGCUGUGCAGUGACCCCCACAGCCUGUCUGGAGUGUGUUCGUCCCUCUCGGGGACCGGCCUGGGCUAGUAGCGAGACCCUGCCUCAGAAAAAAACCCAAAAACCCAGAAAAGAUAAACUACUGGAGCCCA